rnacentral:tRNA from 1 species
GGAGAUUUGGCCGAGCGGUUGAAGGCGCACGCUUGGAAAGCGUGUAUACGUGAAAGCGUAUCAUGAGUUCGAAUCUCAUAGUCUCCGCCA